GACGAACGCUGGCGGCGUGCUUAACACAUGCAAGUCGAGCGAUGAAGCUCCUUCGGGAGUGGAUUAGCGGCGGACGGGUGAGUAACACGUGGGUAACCUGCCUCAUAGAGGGGAAUAGCCUUUCGAAAGGAAGAUUAAUACCGCAUAAGAUUGUAGCUUCGCAUGAAGCAGCAAUUAAAGGAGUAAUCCGCUAUGAGAUGGACCCGCGUCGCAUUAGCUAGUUGGUGAGGUAACGGCUCACCAAGGCGACGAUGCGUAGCCGACCUGAGAGGGUGAUCGGCCACAUUGGGACUGAGACACGGCCCAGACUCCUACGGGAGGCAGCAGUGGGGAAUAUUGCACAAUGGGGGAAACCCUGAUGCAGCAACGCCGCGUGAGUGAUGACGGUCUUCGGAUUGUAAAGCUCUGUCUUCAGGGACGAUAAUGACGGUACCUGAGGAGGAAGCCACGGCUAACUACGUGCCAGCCGCCGCGGUAA
rnacentral:rRNA from 1 species